rnacentral:rRNA from 1 species
AGAGUUUGAUCCUGGCUCAGGAUGAACGCUGGCGGCGUGCUUAACACAUGCAAGUCGAACGGUGAAGCAGAGCUUGCUCUGUGGAUCAGUGGCGAACGGGUGAGUAACACGUGAGCAAUCUGCCCCUGACUCUGGGAUAAGCGCUGGAAACGGCGUCUAAUACCGGAUACGAGCUGCGAUCGCAUGGUCAGUAGCUGGAAAGAAUUUCGGUCAGGGAUGAGCUCGCGGCCUAUCAGCUUGUUGGUGAGGUAAUGGCUCACCAAGGCGUCGACGGGUAGCCGGCCUGAGAGGGUGACCGGCCACACUGGGACUGAGACACGGCCCAGACUCCUACGGGAGGCAGCAGUGGGGAAUAUUGCACAAUGGGCGAAAGCCUGAUGCAGCAACGCCGCGUGAGGGAUGACGGCCUUCGGGUUGUAAACCUCUUUUAGCAGGGAAGAAGCGAAAAGAGAACGGACCUGCAGAA